ACUUAAGUAAUUUAAUAAAAAUAUUGGUCUGUGGAUCCAAAAAUGUGUUAAAGCGCCUUAGGUA
rnacentral:tRNA from 1 species